rnacentral:lncRNA from 10 species
GCAUUCCAUAUUUGUCAUUUUUAAGAUAGGGUUUGGGGCUUUAGAAAGGUCAAAAGAGCUGUGGGAAAGAAGGUCAAAGCAGCCUCCAGCUAUAUCUCAGUCUGAAGGUCAAAGUCACGUUGUUCUUCAUAGCUCACAGAAGCUUCUGCAAUUCUCAAAUCUCUGGGAAGCUUCCAUCAGUGGUCUCAGUCUAUAGUGGGAAAGCAGGUGCUUCUCAGCUUACUGGGGGAGCCUCCAGGACAUUUCAUAUCUGCUCAUGCAACUGCCUCUGCAGAAUACUGGUUCCUUCUGUCCCAUCUUCCAAUAUCAUGCAGCACCUCUCAUCGGCCAGCUGUAAACUGAAGCAACACGGAAAAGAGGAUUCUGGGAAAUAUGAUACCUGGCUUCUUCUCUACAGUGCAGAAAUAAUCUUGGAAAAACUAAAAUACCUCUUAGUCUAAAUAGACACUUUCACUGAAUAAGUAAAGGCCUUUCCUACAGGGUCUGAGAAGGCCACCGCAGUCAUUUCUUCCCUUCUGUCAGACAUAAUUCCUCAGUUUAGCCUUCCCACCUCAAUACAGUCUGAUAACAGACGAGCCUUUAUUAGUCAAAUCAGCCAGCAGUUUUUCAGACUCUUAGUAUUCAGUGAAACCUUUAUAUCCCUUAUGGUCCUCCGCCUUCAAGAAAAGUAGAAUAGACUAAAGGUCUUUUAAAAACACACCUCACCAAGCUCAGCCACCAACUGAAAAAGGACUGGACAAUACUUUUACCACUUUCCCUUCUCAGAAUUCAGGCCUGUUCUCGGAAUGCUACAGGGUACGGCCGAUUUAAGCUCCUGUAUAGACGCUCUUUUUUAUUAGGCCCCAGUCUCAUUCCAGACACAAGACCAACUUAGACUGUGCCUCAAAAAAAAAAAAAAAAAAAAAAAAAAAAAACUUGUCAUCCCUACUAUUUUCUGUCUAGUCAUACUCCUAUUCACCGUUCUCAACUACUCAAACAUGCCCUGCUCUUGUUUACACUGCCAGUUUACACUGUUUUUCCAAGCCAUCACAGCUGAUAUCUCCUGGUGCUAUCCCCAAACUGCCACUCUUAACUCUUGAAGUAAAUAAAUAAUCUUUGCUGGCAGGACUAUGCUGAAUCUCCUUAGGCACUCUCUAAUCAGAUAUCCUGAGUCGUCCCAAUUCUUAGACCUUUUAUACCUGUUUUUCUCCUUCUGUUAUUCCAUUUAGUUUUUCAAUUCAUACAAAACUGUAUCCAGGCCAUCACCAAUCAUUCUAUAAGACAAAUGUUUCUUCUAACAUCCCCACAAUAUCACCCCUUACCACAAGACCUCCCUUCAGCUUAAUCUCUCCCACUCUAGGUUCCCACGCUGCCCCUAAUCCCAACUAUGUUUCUAGCAGCUGUUAGGGUAAUUGUUUUGCUAGUUUCUAAUUGCAGAUGUUGGCAGCUGGAAAUUAGAAGCAAGUAGUAGUUUCUUUAGAGCAUGGAAUUAAAUGUGUGAAAACAUGAGAUUAUGCUUUUUCAGUUAUCUUCAACACUGCUAUGAAGAUCGGAGUUUUAGAAUCUCUACUAAUUAUUUUAAGGGUCAGAUAACCUUAAAUAUUAAAAAGUUUUAAGCCUUUACUAGAUAUAUAAAGGCCUGUCACUUUUCAAAUGUAAGUUAGAUGACAAAGAAGUCUCUAUGGCCAGAGAAAGGAAGGAAAAAUAAAGAUUUAUUUGAAUAAUUAAAUAAAAGAAGGGGUUUAUUACAUUAUUCAGAAAAUUGCUUCAAUUUUCCCACUUGGCCUUGCCUGUGCAGACCUGAGAAAAUGCUCUUUUCUCCUAUAUUUAAUCUCCAGAGCAACCUAAAAGGAUACUGACAAACAUUAAUUUUGCAUUAUAAAAUAGUCUCGGUAAGUGACAGCAAUUUCAAGAUUAAUGUGUUGGCCUCCUGAGAUUUCAGUAAGGAAAAAAGUUUCUCUUAAAUCUUGUAUUUAAGUCUUAUAUAAUAUUGGUCACUGUCUUGCAAUGGUAUUUUCCAAUCAAACAGACUUCUGAAGACUAUGAGUUCUCCAGCAGCUAGGAAUGAAGAGUGCCUGUUCCUAGAGGUAUGGUUUCCAUUGCGCAGUUCACUGAGCUAGUCACUCACACUAAGUCUCUGGCAUGCUUCUUUAAGAUUUAUAUUCAGGUAUAGGAUAGAAAAUAAAGUCAAUAAAGAUAGGGAAUUUAAAACAUACCCAAACUUUUGCUCCAUAAAAGUUACUGUUAAGAGAAUGAAAAGAUAAUCCAUAGACUGGGAGAAAAUUUGCAAGUCACCAGUCUGAUAACUUGUAUCCAGAAUUUUUUUAAAAGCCCUCAAAAUUCAACAAAAUAAGAAAAAAAUUACUCAAUAAAAAAAUGGGACAAAGAUUUGAACAGCUUCACCAAAGAAGAUGUAUGAGUGGCAAAUAAGAACAUGAAAAUAUGCUCAAUAUUAUUCACCAUUAGGGAAAUACAAAUUAAAACCAUGAUAAGAUACCACUAUGAACUUAUGAGAAUGGUUAAAAGUUAAAGAAAUCUUACAAUACCAAGUGAUGGCAAGAAUGUAAAACUACUAUAAAUCUCAUACAUUGCUGGUGAACAUGCAAAAAUGUACAGCUACUCUGGAAAACAGGCAAUAUUUUAUAUUUAAGUGAAUGCUUAGCCAUAUGACCCAGCAAUUCCACUCCUAGCUAUUUAACUAGCAAAACAAAAAUUUCCGCGUGUGCAAAAACCUGUAUGUGAAUGUUUCAUAGAAGCUCUGUUUAUAAUCACCCAAACAUGAAAAUAACUGUAUGUCUUUCAAUG